rnacentral:rRNA from 1 species
UACGUAGGGGGCAAGCGUUGUCCGGAUUUAUUGGGCGUAAAGAGCGUGUAGGCGGCCAGGUAGGUCAGCUGUGAAAACUCGAGGCUCAACCUCGAGACGCCGGUUGAAACCAUCUGGCUAGAGUCCGGAAGAGGAGAGUGGAAUUCCUGGUGUAGCGGUGAAAUGCGCAGAUAUCAGGAAGAACACCCGUGGCUAAGGCGGCUCUCUAGUACGGUACUGACGCUGAGGCGCGAAAGCGUGGGGAGCAAACAGG